AUUGAACGCUGGCGGAAUGCUUUACACAUGCAAGUCGAACGGCAGCAUAGGUGCUUGCACCUGAUGGCGAGUGGCGAACGGGUGAGUAAUACAUCGGAACGUGCCCAGUCGUGGGGGAUAACGUAGCGAAAGUUACGCUAAUACCGCAUACGAUCUACGGAUGAAAGCGGGGGACCGUAAGACCUCGCGCGAUUGGAGCGGCCGAUGGCAGAUUAGGUAGUUGGUGGGGUAAAGGCUCACCAAGCCGACGAUCUGUAGCUGGUCUGAGAGGACGACCAGCCACACUGGGACUGAGACACGGCCCAGACUCCUACGGGAGGCAGCAGUGGGGAAUUUUGGACAAUGGGCGCAAGCCUGAUCCAGCCAUUCCGCGUGCAGGAUGAAGGCCCUCGGGUUGUAAACUGCUUUUGUACAGAACGAAAAGGCUCUGGUUAAUACCUGGGGCUCAUGACGGUACUGUAAGAAUAAGCACCGGCUAACUACGUG
rnacentral:rRNA from 1 species